ACUUCAUUUUGCUUCAUGCCUUGCUAUUGUAGUUAAUCUUGCAUAUGUAAAACAUACUUCGAUCUAGACAAUUAUUUUUAAGUAUGAAUCAUAUUGUUCGGCAUGUUAUUGGUCCAUCGACACUUCGUCCGAUUCUUCGGCGCAUCGUCCUCUCUUGUGGCCUAUUGUCCAAUCGGCCAGUUGACUCUGCAACUCCGAUAUCCUUAGCGCAAUAUCCGAUAUUCUUAGCUCGAUGCUCGAAUCCAUGGCCGGAAGCUUUAUGUCGAUACGUCAACCGAUCCUCCAGCUCGACGUUCAAUCUUUUGACAUAUUCCACUAGCCCAACAUGAUUCUUCCUGCUUUAAUUGUC
rnacentral:lncRNA from 1 species